CACAUGUUUUGGGGAGACACAGUUCAAUCCAUAACAGGGAAAGCGACCCGACCACUGCCACACAGCUCAUCCACAGCAUGUGGAUGGUCACAGAAAAUGGAGACUUGUGACUUCUAGUUUAAUGUUUCUCCAUAUUAUCACAUUUCCUCUCUGUUGGUGAUCUUGUGGAUAGUAUUGCUGGCAGAAGUUUCUAGAAUUGUGAUUUAUAAUUUGUCUCCCCCCUAAAACUACUGGGGGAUUCACUUAAGAUAACCAGCUGCCCAACACUGGCUGAAAUAGACCAGGAACCUUAGGGACUGUCUAGGUCUUUGUGACAAGUCCAAAAUGUAAAAACAAACACUUCACACAUACCAUCCUUUCCCCACCCCAAAGUAUUUUGUGCCUGGGUAUAAAUGAAAGAUCUGAGAGAGUACUUUGAUAAGAGAGGAGAAAGCUUGAGGCUCUGGGGUGUCAGGAUAUGUGGGUGCCCACUUGGGGUACUAUGGAUGUUGUGAGGAGUAGAAGUGGGUUUAGUGGAGAAGAGGAAGAGUAGAAGUUUGAAGCCCUGGAAACAAUCUCAGAGCUAAGCUGUAUCUAAAGUCCAGAGCCAAGCUGGGGUCAGCAGAGAUGGUGGUGUCCACUCCAGCCACCCUGCGUCUCUCCAUGUAGUCCAGGACCAGGAGUUGUACAGAUGGAAAAAGUGAAGAUGUCAGCUAUUGAGCAAGUUGCUCCCCCUCACUCACACCUCCAGCCCCCCAGUCUCUUAUCACCAGGCUGUUUUCUGCCACCUUUUCCUAAUCAGGCCUUUUCAUCAUCGUCCAGACAGGCCAGAGCAGAGCAGGCUGGGACACCCAAAACGGCCCCCUCCAGCUGGCCAAACCCACUAUAAGGAUUCACAGAGCACUGUAGCAAUCCAGUCUUUCUUAGACAACCCCAGUGGCCAGGAGCCAGCCAUUCCCCUAGUAGAUCGUUUUAUCUUUGGACAGCUCUGACUCAGAAAGUUUAGAUUGAGCUAACACCUGGUUCCUAGCAACCUCACUCCACUGGUGUGUGUGUGUGUUGCGGAGGGUGCCCUGGGAAGAGAGGAUGUGGAUGGGGGGAAAGGGCUUUACCCUAUCUUAUACCUCUUCUCUCUGGCCCCAAGUCUCAUCUGUCAUAACACAAUCUCUGUGACUUGGGGAGCAGUACUCUAUUCUGUGUUCAUAGGACUCUGCUCAUCAGGAAUGACCUCAGAACACUAUCCUGUUCUCGUUGUCAAGCUCUAGCUGAUAGCUGAGUUCCUGGCACAGAACAUGGCCUCACUAAGGGAAUGAAUGCUGACUGGAGAUAAUGGACAGGGAAGUGAGCAGGAAGGGGGAGAGGGGAAAUGGCUGUACCAGUUGUAGAGCUGAAUGUGCUCCCCAGGGUUUUCCCUGUCCAGGCUAAAGUGGCUCCACAGCCACCCGAAGCACUUCCCUCUCCUGGCCCCACCUCUGUUGCCAGUCAGGUGUCCUGCAUUCCCUCCUUCUUGCCUAGGCCCGGACUGCCACAAUGCACCUGACCUCACACCCUGACAGUCCUGCGGAGCCGAGGGGGCGGAGAGAGGGUUCUCAAUUGAAGGGGAAGCAGGAUGGCCACCUCCCUUCCUGAGUCCCCUCACCCCUAGAUUCCAGCACUGCAUUACUGCUCCUGCCAUGCCAUGAGAAGCCCAGGUCGGCAGUGGUAAUCCUAUUUGCAAGGGAAUGUGCAAAACUUCCCUGCAUGUUUUAAAUUAUUGGGCAGAUUUGCUUUGUUCCUGCUUGGGCCCAGCCAUCACUGCCCUGAACCUAACUGUGACUGGGCCCUUAAUUAAGCAUUGCCUUGCUUUGAGACCCUUUAAUGAGAAGGGCUACCACAGUAUGACAUGAUGUGUUUUAUUAUAGUUAAUAAAACCAAAAAUAUUGGAACAGAAGAUGAGGAAGAGUUCUUUGAAGAAGGUUGAAAAAGUGUUCCCUUCAAUAAAAAGUUAAACUUUUGCCUCUUGUAUUAUCUCUACCACUGCCAACUCCACUAAAAGUAAAUGCAUAUGAAGAGGACGUCCUUAAAAUUAAAAACAAAAAGAAUGAAAUAUUCGUUUGGCCACAAGAUUGUGAGUGCCAGUCCAGCUUCUCCUUACAUUUUAGAAUAGCUGAACCACUUGAUUCCUCAGUGUGGCCCAGAGAUUUCCAAAUGCCUUUACAGAGCUCUCCUGUGCUUCUCCUGAGAUACGCUCUAUAGGAAGUCAUCUGGACCAAAUAGCCUAAGCACUGAGUUUGCUCCGUUUGUGUUACAUUUCCUAUGUGUUGAGAGUUUGGCUGCCAAGAGAUAGAUUGUAAAUGGAAUCUUCUAUUCUGAUUUCAGUUUCUGGAAGUAAGCUCAAGGCAAAUCAUAUAUUUAAAGACAUAUGCAUAUGUUUAAGGAUUACCUGGCCAUUAUUUCUACUGUCUUUUUGAAGACUUCAUCAUGGUAGCCUGACCCAGUGCAACAUACUAAGAGGAGAGAAGAUACUUUUAAUGUACGUCCUUAGGUGGCUGAGCCAGUUGGCGCCCUGUUAAUUGGAACAGGCUACUGAGCCCAAUACCACUUGGCUUCCCCACCAAGAACAGAGUUCCAAAACUACAAAUAGCUUCGAUGGCUGGCUCCACCCAACCUGCUAAAGUCAUCAACUAAGAUUCACGGAGCACGGAAAUGGAUAGUGCUUCUGCCCUCCCCUCUGGAAAAAAAUACUCAAAGGUUGUGACUUAAUGACCACUGAGUCAGCAGCAGCUCUUCACUUGCCAGGAAUAGCACAGUCUUCUUUUCCUUUUCAGGUAAUCCCUCCACAGGACAGGAAAGUCACCCAUUUUGUAACACAUGGAAGAAAUUCAUGAUAGAAGGGGCAAGAUUAUUUAAACAAAAUACAAAAAGCUUUUUUUUUUAAAGUGAGAGAAAGCCCAGGACAAAGAAAUCAUUUUCUGUUUAAAAAAUGGUUUGAAUCACAAUUGUGAAACUCUCCACUGUUUCUCUUUUCUCCAGAGGUAUCUACCAGAAGGUCCCUUAGCCUCACCACAAAAGCCUCCAGAGGUGCCAAACUUCUUUCUGAGGAGCCUCACAGAGCAUAUGCAUACUUGUCAGGUGUUCUUAAUAAAUGGACCUGUGCUCUGAAUGGUGAUCUGAAUAGUGUCGUCCUGUGGAUAAGGCGUGAGAGGGUGAGGGAGCCUCAGUAGGAACCACAGAGCUUUCACGAGAUGUCGGUGCCUAGUUUUCUCCCCAGUGGACUUGAAGCCAGGAGAAAGCAUUGUGACUCAGGGUCACCAUUAUCAUCAUGGAUAGCUGCUCCCCUAUCACAGACAUUGAACUUGACUUCCAGUCUUUCCAGGCUCUGGGAUCCAGCCAAGCCCUUCCCUCCUGGGACAGCUGCUUUCAGGAGCCAAGUAGGCUAGUGGUGCGUCUCCCUCAGCGAACCCAUCCAGCUUUCUGGGUGUUCACGUGGAGUAGUGGAGAAGUCCUUCCACCAAGGCCAGCUCUGUGCACCAGACUCCCAUCUCUGUCACCGUCAGUCUCCCUAGAUGUGUAGCCUCUUUCCCCAGUGUCGGCUUCAGAUGGUGGCUGGCACUUUGCCCACACAUCAGGGAGUACACGGCCGGAAGGGAUUGGGCUUUCUCCUUGAUUCCUAAGGCUGCUUCCUUGGUCAUCACUUCCUCCAUCCCUACCCACCCUGCAAGGUAAAAUCACCUCCUUGAGACUUACGUCCGUUAACUGUCUAUCCCUGCCUACCCCUUUCGGUUGCUGCUCUCUAGUAAGCUCCUGGCAGUCUCUAAAUUUCAUCAAGGACUUUGACUUAUUUAAUAAAUGUUUAAUAAGCAUUUACUGUGCCAAACAGUUUGCUAUGUAUACAAAGAUGAGUAAAACAUGAUCCUUGUUCUUAAAGAUAAGCUUGUAGUUUAAUGAAGAAACAUAAAAUAAUUACCAGACUAGAUGGUAAAUGCCUUAAUGGACAUACAGUAUUUACAAGUUGGAAGCAUGGACACAUGGAAAUGGGUGGGUGGGAAGGAAAGCAAGGGAAGGGUCAGAGAAGGCUGGACAGAAUUGGUGAGCCAGUAAGUUAGAGUUAUUCAGGUAGGGAGAAAGGCAUCAUUCAUAUCACCAGGAGUGACGUGUACAAAUGGACUGAGGCCUGAGAGGAAAUGGCGCCUUUGGGGAACUGGUAGUGAUUCAGUCCAGGAGGUGUAAAGGAUUUAUGCUAGGAAGUGGCAAGGGUAAUCCUGAAACAUGCAAGGAGCCGGAGCGUAAAUCUAAUCAUCUCCCCACACAAAUAUGCUUUCACUCCUUUCCUCCCUUUUUUUGACGGGUGGCAACCAGCCAUCCUAGAGUCCUACUUCCCCAUCAAUUCCCACAUCUCU